UGAUAAGGGUGCAGAGAGGAAGGAAGGCUGCAAAGAUCCAUGAGGACCAAAUCUGAGAAAAUCUGAGAGAUGAUCCUUUCUCAGCUGCUUCUGAUCACAGUCCUGGGGCUCGCAUGGACAACAGUAACUGGACUACCUCGCACUCAAAUGUUCCCCUCCCAGUCGGCCCCUUCAAAUGUUGACAGCGUUACGCCCUCAGAUGUGGCUGUGCUUUCCUCCAUUGGACUUCACAUGCACAGCACUGAGCUGUCUAUGGUGGUAUCAAGGCUCACAUAGAUGAUGGCCCUGUUUAAUCCUAGACUUGUCAGUCCUCUCUCAGAUGAAACAAACUUGUAUGAUCCUCAGUUUGUUCAACACAGCACACUGGCGGAGCAGGCAAAGGAAGUGUCUCUAUACCUCCAAAACAAUCAGGCUGUUGAUGUGCAUAGAGAUUGGAAGCUGAUACUUCUCUUUGCUCAGGUGGAUAAGCUCUGUGCUUGUGAACAGCAGCAG